AGUCUCAAUUAUUUCAAACUUAAAUAUGUUUUCAGUCCCUACAUUUUGCGUGACUUUAAAGAAUAAUCUUUAUAUUUUAGGGAUUUUAAAAACAUUUAUUGAAAUGUAAGGACUAUUUUUAAAAGUCACGCAAAAUGUCGGAACGAAAAACAUAUUUAACCUUAAAAUAUUUGGAACC
rnacentral:pre_miRNA from 1 species